GUUUAUGGCCAUAGCACCCUGACUGUCCCGAGUCUCGUGUGAUCUUAGAAGCUUAACAGGGUUGGACCUGGUUAGUAUCUGGUUGGGAGACGGACACAAAGCUCUGUGUUUGUGUGUA
ensembl:rRNA 5S_rRNA 5S ribosomal RNA